AACGAACGCUGGCGGCAUGCCUAACACAUGCAAGUCGAACGAGACCUUCGGGUCUAGUGGCGCACGGGUGCGUAACGCGUGGGAACCUGCCCUUAGGUUCGGAAUAACUCCCCGAAAGGGGUGCUAAUACCGGAUAAUGUCUUCGGACCAAAGAUUUAUCGCCUUUGGAUGGGCCCGCGUUGGAUUAGCUGGUUGGUAGGGUAAAAGCCUACCAAGGCGACGAUCCAUAGCUGGUCUGAGAGGAUGAUCAGCCACACUGGGACUGAGACACGGCCCAGACUCCUACGGGAGGCAGCAGUGGGGAAUAUUGGACAAUGGGCGAAAGCCUGAUCCAGCAAUGCCGCGGGAGUGAUGAAGGCCUUAGGGUUGUAAAGCUCUUUUACCCGGGAUGAUAAUGACAGUACCGGGAGAAUAAGCUCCGGCUAACUCCGUG
rnacentral:rRNA from 1 species